CCUACGGGUGGCAGCAGUCGAGAAUCAUUCACAAUGGGGGAAACCCUGAUGGUGCGACGCCGCGUGGGGGAAUGAAGGUCUUCGGAUUGUAAACCCCUGUCAUGUGGGAGCAAAUUAAAAAGAUAGUACCACAAGAGGAAGAGACGGCUAACUCUGUGCCAGCAGCCGCGGUAAUACAGAGGUCUCAAGCGUUGUUCGGAAUCACUGGGCGUAAAGUGUGCGUAGGCUGUUUCGUAAGUCGUGUGUGAAAGGCGCGGGCUCAACCCGCGGACGGCACAUGAUACUGGGAGACUAGAGUAAUGGAGGGGGAACCGGAAUUCGCGGUGUAGCAGUGAAAUGCGUAGAUAUCGAGAGGAACACUCGUGGCGAAGGCGGGUUCCUGGACAUUAACUGACGCUGAGGCACGAAGACCAGGGGAGCGAAAGGGAUUAGAUACCCCAGUAGUC
rnacentral:rRNA from 1 species